rnacentral:rRNA from 1 species
GACGAACGCUGGCGGCGUGCUUAACACAUGCAAGUCGAACGGAAAGGCCCUGCUUUUGUGGGUUGCUCGAGUGGCGAACGGGUGAGUAACACGUGAGUAACCUGCCCUUGCCUUUGGGAUAACUUCAGGAAACUGGGGCUAAUACCGGAUAUGAGCUCCUGCUGCAUGGUGGGGGUUGGAAAGUUUCGGCGGUUGGGGAUGGACUCGCGGCUUAUCAGCUUGUUGGUGGGGUAGUGGCUUACCAAGGCUUUGACGGGUAGCCGGCCUGAGAGGGUGACCGGCCACAUUGGGACUGAGAUACGGCCCAGACUCCUACGGGAGGCAGCAGUGGGGAAUAUUGCACAAUGGGCGGAAGCCUGAUGCAGCAACGCCGCGUGCGGGAUGACGGCCUUCGGGUUGUAAACCGCUUUCGCCUGUGACGAAGCGUGAGUGACGGUAAUGGGUAAAGAAGCACCGGCUAACUACGUG